ACAAGCGGUGGAGCAGUUGUGGUUUAAUUCGAAGCAACGCGAGAACCUUACCAGGUCUUGACAUCCCUGACAACCCGAGAGAUCGGGCGUUCCCCUUCGGGGGACAGGGUGACAGGUGGUGCAUGGUUGUCGUCAGCUCGUGUCGUGAGGAUGUUGGGUUAAGUCCCGCAACGAGCGCAACCCUCGACCUUAGUUGCCAGCAUUCAGUUGGGCACUCUAAGGUGACUGCCGGCUAAAAGUCGGAGGAAGGUGGGAUGACGUCAAGUCAUCAUGGCCUUUAUAUCCUGGGCUACACACACGCUACAAUGGGAAGGGACAAUAGGUUGCGAAGCCGCGAGGCGGAGCCAAUCCAGCAAAACUUCCCUCAGUUCAGAUUGCAGGCUGCAACCCGCCUGCAUGAAGUUGGAGUUGCUAGUAAACGCAGGUCAGCCAUACUGCGUUGAAUACGUUCCCGGGGCUU
rnacentral:rRNA from 1 species